rnacentral:tRNA from 1 species
GCCCCCGUGGCGGAAUGGUAGACGCUGCGGACUUAAAAUCCGUUGACUUCGGUCGUGCCAGUUCAAGUCUGGCCGGGGGCACCA